AAUGAACGCUGGCGGCGUGCCUAACACAUGCAAGUCGUACGAGAAAUCCCGAGCUUGCUUGGGAGAGUAAAGUGGCGCACGGGUGAGUAACGCGUGGGUAACCCACCUUCGAAUCUGGGAUAACUCCGCGAAAGCGGUGCUAAUACCGGAUAAGACCACAUUCCGUUCGCGGAAAGAGGUAAAAGCUGACCUCUCCAUGGAAGUUAGCGUUCGAAGACGGGCCCGCGUCCUAUCAGCUUGUUGGUGGGGUAAAGGCCUACCAAGGCAGCGACGGGUAGCUGGUCUGAGAGGAUGAUCAGCCACACUGGAACUGGAACACGGUCCAGACUCCUACGGGAGGCAGCAGUGAGGAAUUUUGCGCAAUGGGGGAAACCCUGACGCAGCAACGCCGCGUGGGUGAAGAAGGCUUUCGGGUCGUAAAGCCCUGUCAGGUGGGAAGAAACUCUUCAGUACUAAUAAUGCUGAAGUCUGACGGUACCACCAGAGGAAGCACCGGCCAACUCCGUG
rnacentral:rRNA from 1 species